GGAGAGGAACAAAUCAGUUCAGUACCGCUCAUGAGCUUUAUGGACCCUUGACUAUGGGGAACAGAAACUGAUUUAUUAUGCUUACCCCAUUGCCUAAACAUAUUCCUGUUUGUUCUCCAUGUGUUUGGUGUUGAUACAGAAGAAGUGAAGACAAUAUCAGUGAUGAAGGGAGAUUCGGUCACUCUACACACUGAUGUUACUGAAGUACAGAAAUAUUUGUUCAUACAGUGGAUGUUUGGAAACACUCGAAUAGCUGAAGUCACACAAACCAGCUCAACAUGUGAUGGUCCUGAUGGGAGAUUCAGAGGCAGACAGCUGGAUCAGACUGGAUCUCUGACCAUCACAAACACCAGAACCACAGACUCUGGACUUUAUCAACUAAACAUUUUGAGCCAAGAGACCAGCUAGCUACAUGAGUUUCAAUCUUACAGUCUAUGAUGUGGCACAUGAAAUGAAGUCAGUGUCAGUGAUGAAGGGAGAUUCUGUCACUCUACACACUGAUGUUACUGAAACAGAAAUAUUUGUUGGUACAGUGGAUGUUUGAAAGCACUCGAAUAGCUGAAGUCAACAGACUCAUGCAGACUAGCUCUAAAUAUGAUGGGAGAUUCAAAGACAGACUGCAGCUGGAUCAAACCGGAUCUCUAAUCAUCACAAGCACCAGAACCACAGACUCUGGACUUUAUCAACUAACAAUUGUCAGCAGAGAGACCAGCUUCAUGAAUUAUAAUGUUACUGUCUAUGAAAGAUCGUCAAGCUCAAAUUGUGUGUCGUCCAGCUGUGCAGCUGUGCAGUGAGCCGUUCAGACUGAAGAUACCAGCAUUGCUGAACUCUAUCAGCCGAGUUUAGAUAUACAGCAUGACCUGUUUGUGCUUGAGGACUGGGUAAAUUUGCAUGCAUUUUCUUCGAUGAUUUAACAGGAACAGAGAACGGACAGCAGAUAUGUGACAGAGAAGUGAAGUGUGUUUUCUGGUGUUUGGGUGAGUGGGUGGUGGAAAAAAGAAAAAAAAAAAAAAAACAAAUAAUGGAGAAUCACAUAAUCAGACAGAUUCCUCAGGGAGUCCUAAAAAUGAUCUAUAGUCAUUUAUGUUAGCCAUGCAAUCCUAGCUAAUGUUAUUUAGCUAAGCAAGGAAAGUGUGCAUGCAAAUAUGCACAAAGUUUAUGGAUGCUGUAAGUCUUUUGAAAUGGAUGCAAUAUGUCUAUUUGAAAGAGAAAUAAAUGCACAAAUCUGUUUCAGUGCUUUUUUUUUUUUUCAUUUCAGAUUGCAUUCACUGUUGUGGUUUUACUGAAGCUGUGAUCCGAUUGGCUCUCUCUGCUCUGGUGGCCGUGGCUGCUGUUGCUGUGCUGCUUUAUGACAUCAGGGCCAGUAUUCACAAAACAUUUUAUCUUAGCACUAAGAAUUCUCCUAAAUAGCAGUAAAAGUUUUUAGCUAAGAGUUUUCUUUUAAAGGGAUCAUGUGAUUCGAUUUAAAGUUUUCUAUCUUUGGAGAUAGAACAGAUCCCUAAAGUCUCAAACCCAAAGGGUUUUUAUAAAAGUCCACACCCUCCUAAAAUGCCUCGUUCAAACACAUGUCUACGUCACGAUGUGGAAAGAUUUGCAUAAUGCCCAAAAUGUUCACGCAAAGAAAGAUUGUUGCUUCCACCGCAGCUGCCAUGUUGUGGAGACGCUGUGUUUCGUUGUGAAAGUGAAACUACUUUGUUUGGUCUUCCAAAAAAGGACACAACUAGAAAUCAGUGGUUAAGUUGCAUUUACAACACUGUUGCAGAACAGUUCAAACCAAAUAUUUAGAUGUGUGCAGCGCAUUUUACAGAGGACUGUUUCCUGAUCUGCCGGCUGUUCUGACUCACAGUCUGUAAGUAUGUUUUCAUAUUUAAAGAAUUUGCCAAUGAUGAUUCAAACGCGAGUUUUGAGCAGUGUAGGGUAGCACUUGUUUGUCGUUUCUCCAAUCACAAAUGCAGACAUGGUUUUAUGUUUACGCGGCACGAUGCAACGCAAUGUGUAAAAAGACAGUAAAAGUCUUUAUAAUCAGUAAUUAUGUCAUGCUAUGUCAAUAUUAAACUGCAUAAACACAUUGCAUUGCACAAAAUACACAAAAUAAUGUUCUUUUUAGCAACAUCAUAUGACCACUUUAACUUUAAAAAAAAGCUUUUUUAAUUACUAAAUCAACAUUUUUACUAAAUAAACAGUUCUAUGCUCUACAUUGUGUCCCAGUCCUCAUGCCAAAAACCUAAAUGUUAUAAACAGCAUUUUUAACAUAGUAAAAAAAGAAGCAGAAGAACAGGAUGAAUUCACAAAUUAUAGAUACAUAGAAACAAACAAAAACGUUUCAAUUGGUCAAUGCUAGGAAGUUCUGCAGGAACAUAUUCAGUCUUCUGAACAUAGUAACUCGUCUUUUUUUCUGUAAAUCCAAGGGACUCUUUAUUAUAAUCUCAUUACAAUUUUUGUACUCCCAGGGGCACAGAAAUAAAAAUCCCAGAUGUGGGACCAUACCACUCGAAAGAUUAAAUGAUAUAUAUAUAUUUUAAUACAAAACGUUUCCAUCCCUGCAUAUUGGUUAUUUAACAUUCUAAUGUAAACCCUUAAUUGUUUUACUACUUACAUCUUAUCUCACACUUUUUGACCAUUUACAGUGACGUUUGACAGUGACAUUAGUCCAAUUCCCAAACGAAUGAUUUUAGAGAAUUGGUUCUUCUUAGUGAAUCGAAAAAAUAUUGGUCAAACAGUGCAGUCUGACUCCCCUUUAUCUCAAGUGACUUACAAAUGAGGACGAUAAAAGCAAUCAAACCAACAAAAGUGCAACAAUAUUUAAGUUUAAAAAUAAUAAUUAGUUGCACAAUAUUAUACAGGCAGAUUCAGCUCCUGGAGGGCCACCUGCAGCGUUUUGUUCCAACCCAAAUUUAAACACACCUGAACCAGUUAAUCGAGGUCUUCAGGAUUACUAGGAUUACUUCAGACAGGUGUGAUGAAACUGGUUGCUGCGAGACUCUGGACACCGGCCUUUUAGUAUCAGAGGGAGAUGUUUAGAUAUCACAGGUUUUUCAAGAUCAGCGCUUAACACUAAAAAAACCUCAAAGAAAUCACUCUCAUACCACAACACUUAAAACAGACAAUUAAAAACAUAUUUUUUGAAAAAUCUUUUUCCCACAAAAGAAAACGCCAGUUUUGAGUUUUGUCACAUGCAUGCAUGAAUUCUGCAUUACUGUGAAUACUUUCAUCAUAAACAUAAACUACAGAUACAGUGUAAGAGAUUAAUUUUGCCUUAUGGCCAGCUUCACUGGUUGUAAUGGAAGUUGCAUAAUUUGUGUUAUAAACUAACAUCAUAAGGUGACAUGUUUGUCUGUAGCCAGAAUAUGACGUGUUGUUUGUCCAAGCAUAGAAUUACAAUAUCAAGAGUAAUAAUUAACAACAAUUUUUUGUCAUAAUAUUGCAGCCCAAUGAGUCCCUGUUUUUUAAAAAAGUAUAUACCAUUUUAAAUAGUUUGUUGUUAUUGGUAGAAGUUUAUAUUUGAUCGAUUUUAGUAAUUGGCUAAAUUUAAGUAUUUGACAUAAAAGAUAACACAAACACAAUUAAUAAGGUAGCCUAAUUAUAAAAAUUAUAAAAAAUGAAGAUUCAGUCCCAUGGGGCAAAUAUCGCCCCUUAAUGGAAAAGUUUAUUUCUGCAGAAGUAGGCUAAUGGUGCUUUCAGGGUUUGUAUUUACCAGUUGGGAAGCAAUGUUUAUGAUGUCAGGUGUGUUCAGGUGUCAUUUUUAUUUUAAAAGGUUUUCCCAAACUUUGAAAUUAGGGAUUUGUUCAUGUAUUGUGUAGCUGAAAUAUUAAUGUUGUUUCAACAUUAACUUGGAACAUCAGAUGGCAACACUUCUUUUAUUUUGACUAUUUCAGUUAAUAGUAUUUUUCAGUGUUUUUAGAAUCAACACACUGAUCCAAAAAUAUGAUUUGUUUUUAAAUUAAAGAUUGAUUCAACAACAGUGAUGUUGAAUGAACAUCACAAUGUAACACAGAACAAUAUUAAUUUUGUUCUAUUUCAAUGUAUUUUCAGUGUUUUAGAAUCAACACACUGAUCCAAAAAUAUGAUUGUUUUUAAAAUUAAAGAUUGAUUCAACAACAGUGAUGUUGAAUGAACAUCACAAUGUAACACAGAACAAUAUUAAUUUUGUUCAUUUCAAUGCUGAUUCAACAGUUGCUGUAGAAUGAACAUCAUUUGAUUCAAUAUUCUGUUGAAAUCACAACCUUGUUUCUGCAUUAACUUCGGAUGCAAAAGUGAUAUUGAACCAUCACUUUCCUUGUAACAUUAAUUCAAUGCAAUUAGCAUUUGCGCAUUAACACUGACUUAAUAUGUUUCAAUGAUUUCUUGUUAUCUGGGGAGCGUUUUGAGCCUCCUUUCAGCAGGAACGGAAUAGAGAUUGUAUAGUCAAAAAUAAAGUAUUAGGAUGAAGAGGGAAUUUUCAACUUUUUUUUCAAUCGGGAAUUUGUCCCAUUCUAGCACAACAAGAAAUUAUGAUGUUAUCUUAUUAGGAAAAUACCUUAUGCUUAGAAACAGGGCCGAAGUGGGGCCUGUUUUCGGUCCAUGAUUUUAAUGCCCAAGACCAGCCCAGUUAUUUACAGAUAAACAACAAAUAACACACUGAACUUUUUUAGAAAACAUUCUACAGUCAAACUUUUUAAUAGGCACAGUGAAAAAUGCUGCAUAUACAAAUUAAAAAGUCAAAUAAAUAAAAAUGAAUAUCAGAUAUGGAUUAAACAAUGUGUGCUCAUAUAUAAAGUGUCAUAAACACCACUGUAUAAAAAGUACCAAAAGUAAAUGGAGCAGACCAAAUCUAUUUUGGGAGUCCACUUUGAAAAACCCGUAAAUAAACACACCUGAACAAGUUAAUCAGGGUCUUCAAGAUUAUGGCUACUAUACAGGCAGGUGAGUUUCAGGGUUGGAGUUGCGCCAGACUUUGGAUCUUUAAAAAUGUGGUUUCAAAAAGAGCUUUAAAAGCCUCCUGACUCACCAAUUCAGUGCGUUUUUCCAGCAGACUCCAUUGUGAGACCGCAGGUCGAGAGGAUGACAGCUCGAGUGUGCUGCGCGUUGAUCGUUGUUUUGUUGUGUCUCUCUGUAUGCUUGAGCACAACAGAUGCCAGGAGACUUGUCACAG
rnacentral:lncRNA from 1 species